CCUACGGGAGGCAGCAGUGAGGAAUAUUGGUCAAUGGACGAGAGUCUGAACCAGCCAAGUAGCGUGAAGGAUGACUGCCCGAUGGGUUGUAAACGUCUGUUAUAGGGGAAUAAAAUGGUCAACGUGUGGGAUGGUGGAGGUACAAUAUGAAUAAGGAACGGCUAACUCCGUGCCAGCAGCCGAGGUAAUACGGAGGAUCCGAGCGUUAUCCGGAUUUAUUGGGUUUAAAGGGAGCGUAGGUGGAUUGUUAAGUCAGUUGUGAAAGUUUGCGGCUCAACCGUAAAAUUGCAGUUGAAACUGGCAGUCUUGAGUACAGUAGAGGUGGGCGGAAUUCGUGGUGUAGCGGUGAAAUGCUUAGAUAUCACGAAGAACUCCGAUUGCGAAGGCAGCUCACUGGACUGCCCCUGACACUGCGUCUCUAAAGUGUGGGUAUCAAACAGGAUUAGAUACCCGAGUAGUC
rnacentral:rRNA from 1 species